GUGGGCGGAAGAAGUUGCUGCUUCGUUUUCGUUUCCUCGUGAGACACCGUAGCUUGGUGUUGGAGUUUUCGAUUUGCCAUUACGUGAGCGCGCGAGGCCUGUGGAAGGGGGCGGGCCAAACUUGCUCCGUCCCUUUGUUCCAUGACGUGAUUCCUGAAAAUGAUUAAGGUGUUAGCCGAGGUAGUGCUGUUUGGAGUGGCGAGGGCUGCCCGCUCCGAGAAAGCCCAGUUGGUAGUUGCGAAGGGGUUUGUUUGUGCUUGGCAGGCAGCGGGCGCUCAACAAGUGUGUGUUGAAUAAAUGGAUUUUUUUCCUUAUGACACAAUUAAGUGAGCUGUGACUCCACCCCAGGUCUGGUUAGGUAAUUUCCUUUUUCCACAAUACAUAGUCACCGCAAGUCUGUCGUCUUCACGUUGUAAACAUUUUCGUAAGCUUGAUUUUCACACUUUUAAACGUCGUGUUAGUGGCACCGUGUGAACGAGUUGAGGCUUUUUAGCCUUCGGGUCUGCAAGGGUAUAUAUUCACGCCACAGAUGAAUGGCACUUAACAUUUUUCACACUAAAAAUCAUACAGCACAUUUUUAUCACUCACGGAGGAAAAAAAGACUAAAUACACAAAUGACUCCCUCAAACUUCUGCCCUCUGCAGAAUUAGACACCUUACCCAAUCAACGCCAUAUACUCUUAGAGCACCAAAUAGCUACCAUUUAUCUAGUUCCUGUUGUACGUCUGGGACUGUGCUCCUUAGUCCAGGGAAAGAAUUGUGUUUAAUUCUCCCAGCCUAUCUAGGGUACAGAUACCGUUCUCCAGUUCUGUGCAGUUUCAAAGCCCACAGAGACCUGAGGACAUGAGGCUGCUGCUAAGUUAAUGACAGCUCUUCUCAGAAAUGUCUUCUGUGCUGCUUCAGAGCUGGAGCUGAGGACUUGUUGAUUACCUCCCAUUUACCAGGAUUACAGCAAAUUAAAUUUAACUGUGACUGGCAUGCGAACUAUCUGAUGUCGGUUGGACAUGGAUGAGGAAUAUUGCUAUAUAAACCACAGACCUCACAGCAACAGUUAUGAAUGAUCUAAGGCCCAGAAUAAAGGGUCCCCAGGGAGAAGAAAUUCCUAGCCAACUGCAACAUCAUAAGAUGCACAACAAGUAAGAGAACAAGUAGGAAGACAGGAGUACCAGUUUCUUAAAUCUUAGACAAGAUCAUUAGCUAAUUUCUUAUAGAAGACAGAUUUUGAAGACAC